rnacentral:rRNA from 1 species
UACGUAGGGUGCGAGCGUUGUCCGGAAUUAUUGGGCGUAAAGAGCUCGUAGGCGGUGUGUCACGUCGGCCGUGAAAACCUGGGGCUUAACUCUGGGCGUGCGGUCGAUACGGGCAUCACUAGAGUUCGGCAGGGGAGACUGGAAUUCCUGGUGUAGCGGUGAAAUGCGCAGAUAUCAGGAGGAACACCGGUGGCGAAGGCGGGGUCUCUGGGCCGGAUACUG